UACGUGGGGUGCAAGCGUUGUUCGGAAUUACUGGGCGUAAAGCGCGUGUAGGCGGUUCGCUAAGUUCGAUGUGAAAGCCCUGGGCUUAACCCAGGAACUGCAUUGAAAACUGGCGGACUUGAGUCCGGGAGAGGGUCGCGGAAUUCCUGGUGUAGAGGUGAAAUUCGUAGAUAUUGGGAAGAACACCGGUGGCGAAGGCGGCGCUCUGGACCGAGACUGACGCUGAGGCGCGAAAGCGUGGGGAGCAAACAGG
rnacentral:rRNA from 1 species